CUACAGAGGGUGCAAGCGUUAAUCGGAAUUACUGGGCGUAAAGCGCGCGUAGGCGGUUUGUUAAGUCGGAUGUGAAAUCCCCGGGCUCAACCUGGGAACUGCAUUCGAAACUGGCGAGCUAGAGUAUGGUAGAGGAUAGUGGAAUUCCGGGUGUAGCGGUGAAAUGCGUAGAUAUCCGGAGGAACAUCAGUGGCGAAGGCGGCUAUCUGGACCAAUACUGACGCUGAGGUGCGAAAGCGUGGGGAGCAAACAGGAUUAGAAACCCUAGUAGUCC
rnacentral:rRNA from 1 species